AAUUAAAUUUAUUCAUCAAAUUUUCAUCAUUAGCAUCAAUUCUAUCACAUAAAUCUUCCAAAUGACGCAAAUUCUCAACUGUUAUUAAGGAUAACCUGUCCCGGUAAUCGGAGCGCAUAGUGUACCAAAUUAUUUCGAAUAUCUCCUGCUCAGUAAAUGGUAUGGUUCUGCAUAAGAAAAAUUGCUCAAUUCUAACUAAAAAGUUUGAAAAAGAUUCAUUACGAGCUUGAGACAUGGACGCAGAUUUGACUUUUACAUAAUGAUCAAUAUUGCCAGGCUGUAGAGUCGUGCCCUUUGUAAACACCCCUACACAUACCAUCUUAGUGCCAAAUGUUGGAUACCUCUACAUCGAGUACUUUGGCAGGGAGGGAGUGUGAAGGUGACGGAGAGAGAGAGUCGGUGGAAGCAUAGAAUAGAGAUAGGUAGAAUUGCCACUUGCCGAUUCCCCCUUGUAAACGUCAAGCGACACUGCCGACAGCGCCACCACUGCUCGAAACGGGGAACUUCAGUCGAAAUGCGCACUGUGCACUUUGAUGGAACUGCCCUGUGCAUUCUGGAGGGUGCGUUUUGUUUGACAGUGACAGAUGGAAAAAGGCUUGUUGACGUUCAGUUGGCAAUCAAAAAUGUGAAA